GCUGGGAACAACCACCAUAUCCUCAGGCGGCGGUAGCGACUCGUUCGUGUGCGCGCUGGGCCGGAGCGUCACGGGCGCCAUCACGGCGACCACACCAAGCGCAAGGGCCUUGGGAACAGCCAGAUGCCCCUACACUACAAGCUUUCUCAGAAGAUGGCAUUAGGUAGUGUUCUUUCACGGCACUACUAUCUAUUUCAUGAGGAACCACUUGGCAGAUCUGUAGGAUCGCAAUGUUCAGCCUGGCUUCAAUCUUUGAUCUGAUGGAGGGGACCGGCAGCCGGAGCGAACCUGGGGAAGGAUGAGGGGAGCCGAUUAGGAUGGAGAGCAGCAGGGCAGCGAGCUAUUCGCCACCAGCUGCAGGUUUGCCCCCUUGGACCACACAAAGGCCACCACUGUUUAUCUGUGCCUUCAGGCCAGGGAGCCGGAACCGAGGAAGAUCCAUGAGGAGGCGAUGGUACGCAGCUCUCCUG